CGUUUUGAGAUUUUUGCUUGCUAAAUGAUGUCAUUUCACUUUUGAAAAGGAGUCUCGCAUUAACCACCCUUGCAUCUCUUUCAUUAAUGAGGUGGCAGCUCCAGGUUAAAAGUCUCACACGAUCCUCACAGAGGAAUCUUCAGAGGAUCCAGAUCUGUCAAUCACUUGGGAUAUCUAAUAAGAAUUUCUUUCCCUUGAAGAAGAAAAAAAGGAAAGGACUUAAUCAUAUGGAGUAUAAUCAAUAAUACCAGUUGCAUAUAGGGGCACUGAAUGCGUUAAGAAACCUCCUGCAGCAACCACCCAACGAGUAUGGAGACGGAGAACUAGCAGCCGCGCACUGUCUGGAGUGUCAAAAUUUGACCCAUUGGCAUUUUUUACUGGUGCAAAUUCCUCUUCGCGCAACACCUAAA